rnacentral:lncRNA from 1 species
CAGCUAUAGGAUCUUACCAUCACAUUCUGAUGGGUAGCCCUGAGCAACGAGAAUUGACAACUCUGGUAUCAUCUCUGUGACAUCCUCGACCAACAACUUGAGAGUGAGAUGUCCUACAUCUGGCUCUGGACUUUUUGAGAACUUGUAGCCAAUGGAAGGAGAAUUACCCACCUUCUGAACACUUUCCAGGCCGUUCUGGCAUCCGAUGAAUGUGAUUCCUAUGCCCUCUUUCUCUAUCCUGCCAAUGGUCUUCAGUUUUUGAAACUCACCCCAAAGAAUCCUACAGUGUCCAGCUGCAGCUUCCUGCUAAGGUGGGCUUCUGCCAAGGGGAAGCAGAUGACGUGAAGAGAAAAGCCCUGUAUUUCAGCCUGACUAACAGUGAGCAGUCGGUGAAGAAUCUCUACCAAAAGCAUCAAAGGAGACAGUGAACAACCGGAGUGAAUGGAUGACUGUCGCGCCCACCUCGACCGGCAAGGAAGACGCAACACCGUUGGAUCCUUCUCAAUCAGCCUUUAUUGCAGGAACACCUAAUUGAUAGUACGGGGACCCCGGGGAACAAAGGCACUUGCCUUAAGUACAAAACAGACAGCAUGGCUAAGGACUUGUCCUCGGGGGAUUGGUGGAGUAAAGACAUCUUAUUAACAUGCUUAUCAACUAUGACCUAGUAAAGAUGUCAGAAGAAAGCUAAAGGUGGUAGUAAUACAAGCGACCACUAGAUGUCAGUGCUAUAGAUAAAUGCUCCCAACAUCUCCCUCCUUUUUGUUUUAUUAAAAGAUGAGUCCAUUAGGUGGAGGUAGUGGUCUGAGAGAGAUCAGACAUGCCUCACAGAGUGCCCAGCUCGGCCAUGACGAGCCACUCCUGCAGUUAGGACUGCACCCCAAUGGCUAGAGAUGACUGAAAUGUACAACACACUGUUCUGGGCUAUUGGUGUGCUAAUAAUAGGGGAGAGACAGAGCAGAGGGGCAUGGGACCAGCCCGAAUGUACAAACAGGGCGGGGCCACCUCUGUUCAUGACUGGUCUAGAUCUGGGUGUCACGUCAAUACACGUCAUUGCUCCUGUCUUAGGUCGUUCCUCUCAAAACUCGGCCUUACCCGUCAGUGGAAAUUAACCCUAUCGCCACCGGGCUCCUGGCUUAGGUUGGUCCGAGCCUGAGGAAAGUUGCCCGUCUCUGGAUACAAUGACCUCACAUGACAGUGACAAAAUAUGAUCUAGGGCGAACUCUCAAUCUUUUAGAGAGGCCAGCUACACACUGGGAGAAGCACCGCUCUCAAUGGCCGCCAUAGCCUGGUAAACAAUCGCUUUGUGUCUAGCAUGUUCUCGUUUUAAACGGCAAAAAAGCCAUAGGCAUACUCCACAUCCCAAGAGGACAAUGGCCCCCCAGGCAAACAUGCCAGCCCAUUCUUUGAAAAAUGAGAAAGCAUUGGUGAUCCACGAGGUGAAAUCCCCAAUCGAGAUGGGUUCCAUUCUGGUGUUGUUAAGGACAGCAAUCUGCA